rnacentral:misc_RNA from 1 species
UCCGAUUUGUCACCGGCAGUCUCCCAUGAGUCCCCGACAUUACUCGCUGGCAACAUGGGACAGGGGUUGCGCUCGUUGCGGGACUUAACCCAACACCUCACGACACGAGCUGACGACAGCCAUGCACCACCUGUGCACGAGCCCCGAAGGGCUGCCGUAUUUCUACGACAUUCCCGUGCAUGUCAAGCCCUGGUAAGGUGGGGAUGACGUCUUCUACG